UGUACUUUAAGUGCAGCUACAAGACACAAGAGUGUCUCAGGUGCAGCCGUAACAUAUAUGAAAAGCACCAUUUGAAAUGGGGUGGCUUAUUGAAAUCGUCACAUUCACUUGCUGGUGCUUGCCAGCUGCGCACACCUGUAAACGCUGCUGUAAUUGCCGGCUGUUGGCCACAGCUGAUGUUGAUGUAGUAAAGGAGGUGUAGUCACUCUGAGCAGGAUUUGAUAAUGUCACACUGGCUUCCACAAAGAAUUUUGUUGUUGUUUUUUGUUGUUUUUUAUUAUGUACGUUUUGAAGCAGACUUUUUUCUGUACCAGAUGUGGUGCUCCCCAGAUAAAACGGAAUAGAGGAACCACUAUUUCCUGUAGACUGGCGACCUGUCCUGGGCGUACUCCUGCCCACCUUUUGCAGCCGGGAUAAGGUCCAGCUCCUGGAUGGAUGGUUCAGACAGAGCGAGCAUCACGAGUCACGCUGCUGCCACAUUCAGUUGUGGGUUUUUACCGCUACAUCAGGUACAAGCUGUUCAAACAGGCCCCGAUACAAAGGAUAGCAGCAUGUGGCGAUGAGUGCUCUCCCUUUCUUUUCAAAAAGCGACAGGCGGAAAUAAAUGUUUCUAUGCUGUAAUCAGUUACUCGCUCCAUAGAGCAACGUUAUGCCAAAGCAGGGCACUUGAGACUGUCAAGGUAAGACAUUAUCCUUCCUGAAAUAAAUUGUAAUCAGUGAUGACACAGACUGAUGGGAGCUGUCUGCUGAAAAAUUGAUCCAUUUACCUUGACUCUUACGUUUCAGAGAUAGAUUAAAAAAAUAAAAAUAAAAAAUGUGACUGACCAUUUGGAAGCUCCAAGAUCUGAGAGACACGUUAAGCCGGGAGAUGUUUCAGGUCGCCAAAAUCUGGGCCGUGGGCUUAAAACAUCUAAGUAUCCAUGUCAAGAAAAUUCGCAGAGUGAGAAUUUAAUAAUGGCUUUAGUAUCACUUAUAUCCCAGUGGCUGACUGGGCCUUCAUGCCUGCUUUCAUUCUAACUGGAUGUAUUCUGCAUCAGCGGAUUGGCUUCAUUGAGAUUCAUCUAAUAUGGCUGUUGCAGGGUUUCAGCCCGGAUUUCAGAGGAGGUUUAACUCACAUCCUCCGUGCUAUUCUCUUCCUCGCUCCGUGGUUGACAAGAGACUCGUGUUACUUUUGUUUUCCAGCUGGGUGUAAUUCAACAUCGAUAGCACUUAUCUGUGCUCCACUGAUCUUCCCUGGCAUCGGGAAACCAAUGGGAUAACGCCUCUCAUGUGGCAACUUCUGGCAGGCGGGCCGUCGCUAGAGCUGAUCUCACGAAGUCAUGUUAAAAUUUGUAGAUACAAACCAAAAAAAAGUGAGUGAGUGAGGCAGGGAAGGAGUCACUGUUCCUGAGUAAAUCUGCACAGAAAGAAAUGUUUUUAGUUGUGUUUUGUGCCGUUUAAGUAUUCCCAAUGCAAUGUAGCAAAAAGGCUGAGUGCAUUAGUGGGCUCAAAAGACUGAGUUUUGUUAGAUAAGUUUAAAAUACCUGUCAGAUUACGUUUGCUGGGCCACAAAGGGAUGAGAGAAAACAGCAAAUUCCACACUUCUCUGUAUUUGUACUUAUUGUUGCAGUCAAAUUAAAGUUUUCUGCUGAAAAGAUGAGAUUUACAGCUGCACCAG